CCAAAGUUCAAGACGUCUUGGACUGACAAGGCUGAUGUCAUCACAGCCGGUUUGACAGAAUCAGCUUGACAGAAUCACACAGGACGAGACUGAGCAUCUAAGGCAGCAUUCAUCUGAUGAAGAGGACUUCUUCUCAUCACUGACAACCAAACGGUCAGAAGGUACAGGGGAGCUGGAUAGGUAUCUUGCUAGUCCAUCGACCAAAAUUGUUUACCACAUUUUGUUUCUGUACAUAAAGAAGUUGUCCCUCAAACUCAACACAGGCCUGCAUCUGCCGCCUGUGAGAGUCUUUUUAGCUGUGCUGGACUACUCGUCACUGAAAAGCGAGCCAGGAUAGACUCAAUUAACUUAGAAAAUCAGCUCCUACUGAAACUGAAUGGCAAAUUCAGAGAGAACUGAAGUGAGA
rnacentral:lncRNA from 1 species